GAAGAAGUUCCCCCUGUGUCUCUUGGGUGUGGUGGCUUUCUUGGCGCUAGUCAGACCUGAGGAGUUGUGGCGGCCAGUUGAAGGGGAUCUCUCAAGGUCCUGUCCAUGGGACUGCCUUGUGUUUGUGCAGAUGUGGCCGGGCUCCUUCUGCGUGGCUCUUGGAAGGAAGCUGGAGUGCGUCAUCCCAAAAACUGCAGACUCCUGGACCAUCCACGGACUCUGG